GACGAACGCUGGCGGCGUGCCUAAUACAUGCAAGUAGAACGCUGAAGGAGGAGCUUGCUUCUCUGGAUGAGUUGCGAACGGGUGAGUAACGCGUAGGUAACCUGCCUGGUAGCGGGGGAUAACUAUUGGAAACGAUAGCUAAUACCGCAUAACAGUAGAUAUCGCAUGAUAGCUGCUUGAAAGGUGCAAUUGCACCACUACCAGAUGGACCUGCGUUGUAUUAGCUAGUUGGUGGGGUAACGGCUCACCAAGGCAACGAUACAUAGCCGACCUGAGAGGGUGAUCGGCCACACUGGGACUGAGACACGGCCCAGACUCCUACGGGAGGCAGCAGUAGGGAAUCUUCGGCAAUGGACGGAAGUCUGACCGAGCAACGCCGCGUGAGUGAAGAAGGUUUUCGGAUCGUAAAGCUCUGUUGUAAGAGAAGAACGAGUGUGAGAGUGGAAAGUUCACACUGUGACGUAUCUACCAGAAAGGACGCAUUC
rnacentral:rRNA from 1 species